UGGAACAAUCAAGCUAUGUGUAAUGUCCAGU
rnacentral:piRNA from 1 species